UCCAGAAAAAGAAACACACCACUGAGAUUAGUGUUGGUUCAGGACUAGCUAGCUACCUUGUCACGUCAUUUUUCAACAAGACUUUAUACACCUUUUCACAUCAGUUGGCUUUCUACAUAUACUAAAUAUGUAAGAUGAUUAGCCAUACAAGACUCUGUUGUCAGACAAGGCGCAUACAACAAACAGAGAAUAAGUGUGCGGGGAAUAAAAAGUUGGAUAAACAUGGUAGUCUGAAAUUAAAAAAAGAGUCAGUAACAUGUUGUGCAUCUUCAUUGGAUAAGAACUAUAGGUAUAGUAUGAAUUGUAGUAUUUUAGUGUUUAUGAUUGUUUAUUACCAUUUUUAACUGCUUUAUAUUCUUUAUUUCUUAUCAACAUUUAAAAUUUAUUUAUAAAUGUUAUCCUGCGUGACUGACAGUUGAGUGUAAUAGUCAAUCAUUUGAAGGGCAAAGAGAUGUACAGUACCGCUUAAAUGUAACUUUACAUGUGCACGAUAUUUAUCACCUUCAUACGAACCUUUCGUAGCGUCAGAACUUUCGUUGUUAUUGUUAUAUAACCUAUUCUUAAAUACAUGAGCUAUUUUUGCACGUUAUAAACAAUAGAGUUCAUGUCUCACAUGCGAACUUUAAUUAGCUUGUCUAAACUUCGCAUAACUCAUUGUUGUAUUUAAUUGCUAUAGCCAUCAAAGAAUCAACAGAAGAAAAAAUAUAAAAUUUAACAAAGCUUUAAAUUUUGUUUUUUAUGAACUCAUGAACGGCAACCUAUUAUCUUUUGUUUUUACAUGCGAUUUAUUAAGGUACUUUGAUAGAAUCUCGUGUUUUGCAUGCAAUUUUAUUGUUUUUACACGAACCUAAAUAUUGUUUUUUAUUUAGCACAUGAAACAAUUGGAAUGACUUUAUAUAAAUGGUCGAUGUAUUUAUUACAUUUAGCUACCAUUGCACUUUUCAAAAAUUCUUUAAUAGCAUUGACUAACUCUUUUUUCAUUGAUGUUUUAUUGCCUUAACAAAUAUAUCGCUUUA